rnacentral:rRNA from 1 species
GAGUUUGAUCGUGGCUCAGAUUGAACGCUGGCGGCAUGCCUUACACAUGCAAGUCGAACGGCAGCAUGAUCUAGCUUGCUAGAUUGAUGGCGAGUGGCGAAACGGGUGAGUAAUACAUCGGAACGUGCCCUGUAGUGGGGGAUAACUAGUCGAAAGAUUAGCUAAUACCGCAUACGACCUGAGGGUGAAAGUGGGGGACCGCAAGGCCUCAUGCUAUAGGAGCGGCCGAUGUCUGAUUAGCUAGUUGGUGGGGUAAGGGCCCACCAAGGCGACGAUCAGUAGCUGGUCUGAGAGGACGAUCAGCCACACUGGGACUGAGACACGGCCCAGACUCCUACGGGAGGCAGCAGUGGGAAUUUUGGACAAUGGGCGAAAGCCUGAUCCAGCAAUGCCGCGUGUGUGAAGAAGG